rnacentral:rRNA from 1 species
CGUUCUGUAAGCCUGCGAAGGUGACCUGUGAGGGUUGCUGGAGGUAUCAGAAGUGCGAAUGCUGACAUAAGUAACGAUAAAGCGGGUGAAAAGCCCGCUCGCCGGAAGACCAAGGGUUCCUGUCCAACGUUAAUCGGGGCAGGGUGAGUCGACCCCUAAGGCGAGGCCGAAAGGCGUAGUCGAUGGGAAACAGGUUAAUAUUCCUGUACUUGGUGUUACUGCGAAGGGGGGACGGAGAAGGCUAUGUUAGCCGGGCGACGGUUGUCCCGGUUUAAGCAUGUAGGCUGGUUAUCCAGGCAAAUCCGGAUAAUCAAGGCUGAGGUGUGAUGACGAGGCACUACGGUGCUGAAGUAACAAAUGCCCUGCUUCCAGGAAAAGCCUCUAAGCAUCAGGUAACAUCAAAUCGUACCCCAAACCGACACAGGUGGUCAGGUAGAGAAUACCAAGGCGCUUGAGAGAACUCGGGUGAAGGAACUAGGCAAAAUGGUGCCGUAACUUCGGGAGAAGG